GACGAACGCUGGCGGCGUGCUUAACACAUGCAAGUCGAGCGGCGCGGCGAACGGGUGAGGAACGCGUGAGUAACUGCCCCCCUCUCUGGGAUAACAGUUGGAAACGGCUGCUAAUACCGGAUAGUGGGGGAUGACUCGGGUCCUAUCAGCUUGUUGGUGGGGUAGGGGCCUACCAAGGCGACGACGGGUAGCCGGCCUGGGAGGGCGACCGGCCCCAUUGGGCUGAGAUACGGCCCAAACUCCUACGGGCGGCAGCAGUGGGGAAUAUUGCACAAUGUGGGAACGCCGGAUGCAGCAUCGCCGCGUGCGGAAUCACGGCCUUCGGGUUGUAAACCGCUUUCAGCCAUGACGCGGUAGUGGCAGAAGAAGCACCGGCUAACUACGUGCCAGCCGCCGCGGUAAUUC
rnacentral:rRNA from 1 species